CUCAGAGUUCCACGUGACUGGGGAGACUUCACAAUCUUGGUGGAAAGUGAAAGGCACAUCUCACGUGGCAGCAGACAAGACAAGAGAAGGUGGGCAGGGAAACUCCCCUUAAUAAACCAUCAGAUCUCAUGAGACUUAUUCACUAUCAUGAGAAUAGCAUAGGAAAGAUCCACCCCCAUGAUUCAAUUGCCUCCCACCAGUCCCUGCCACAACACGUGGGAAUUGUGGGAUCUACAAUUCAAGAUUAGAUUUGGGUGGGGACACAGCCAAAGUAUAUCAAAUGCCUUUCAGUUCCUGUGUCGUGUCAUGGUCCAUGUACAGUUUGAUAUGUUCUGUCUGUUUCUGUGAUACACCCUCACGCCCUCCACCUGUGCUUAACAGGCUCCCGCUCAUCCUGGGCUUCAGUUCAGGAGGACUUCUUCCAGAUCAGCAAUUCUACCCAGGCCAUUUUCUUCCAUCUUCCCGUGCUCUUCUCUGUGACAGCACAAGUCAUACAGAUCUUCUGUGAGAAAUGAAAUGACGCCCCACUGAUGGGAGC
rnacentral:lncRNA from 1 species